rnacentral:misc_RNA from 1 species
AAGUGCAUCAGCGGCACAUCUCAGUUCGCUCUUUUUUUUUUGCACAUUCGCGAACUACACUUCUCUGCUCCCACGUUGUAUUUUUCUCAACGGCGACACCGACUCGCAAGGGUCGUCCACCGUGUACAUUUGAAGGCUGCGUACUGGUGCCCAAGGUUCAGGGCAGAUUUAGAGUGCGGCGUUCCGCUUUGGGCAUUGACGUGGAUAUCCUUCAGCACCUCACUUGCAGACGGCGCCACGUGUCUUAUCUGAAGUAGGUGGUAUCGCACUCGUAGCGCCACUCUCCCCCCAUCCCCUCUUUUCUUAUUCUUUAAUGCAUGGGUGUUGUCACUGUCUUGUGUCCUGCUCAACGUGUGUUGCGUUUACUGUCUGUCUCUGUGGGUGUGCUGUCUUUCUCUUUUCUAUUUAUCACUGUUUCGCACUUGCAGUGCCGACCACUUCUAUCACCUUCACUACCAGCUAGAACCGUGCGUGUAUUACCGUUUCUCCCCUGUCGCUGCUGUAUUCCGCUGAUUACGGCGCACCUAUUUUUCUUGUGCGGCUAGAUGACGGCGUCAGCGCACCAAGUGACGAGGCUCUUCCUCGUUCUUUGCGGCUCUUCUUCACCGGAGUCGUGCACCGCUGCCGCCGCCAAGGACGUGACUUUUCUGGAACUACCGUGCAUCCCUGUAGCAACGGCCAACUCCACAGAGAGCGGCGGGUGCGCUAGUGCUCCGCCGCGACCUCUCGUAUCGCCUGCUGUACAUCUCGGCCGUCAAACGCCGUUUCUCUCCUCGUCGCUGCAAAACGACCGCGCCUGGUCGCGUGCACUGCUGGAGGUGACAACGUGGUGCAUAGAGGGGCUUCCCUCAACCUCGUACGAUGGCGUCGUUCCUGUCGACGCCGCUACGUUGCCCUUUGCCGGGGUGCGCGUGCGACUCUGCGGUAAGGGUCGCCCCAUUCGCGUCGUGCCAAGUGGAGCAGCCGGCGAGCGGGAAAGCACUACUCUCACAGAGCGUGGAAGCUACACAUGGCUGCAACACGGCGAUGUUCUCGAGUUUGGCACUCAGGCGCAAGUACGCCUGUUGGCAGUGCACGUCCGUGUAGGGCAUGCCGCCGAACUGGUCCAACAUGCAUCCUUUGUGUGGAUCACCUCUUCUUCGAAAUCCACGAGCGCUACAGGGGUUGCCGUCAGCAAUGUUGACGCGCAGCCGACGAUGACGGCGGUGCCUACGGCGCUAUGGUUCGCGGGCCCCUACGAGUGGUCUGCCGUGCCGAAGUUCCUAAAGUCGAAGAUGCUACAGGAAGCCGAGCAGCUGACUCUUUACAUGCACGAUAGAGACGCUUACCGCCUUAAGAAGGCUGCUGCAGACACAGCAAGCAUCAGCGAGUCGAAUCGACUACGCUAUGGCGGCUUCGACAGAAAGGGCACGAAGGGAACUGCGAUACGAGUAUCACCUUGGGUCGAGAGCGAGAGACGCACCCAUGCGGAGGAAGUUCUGGUGACAUCUUCGCCCCACUGCAGCGAAUUCGGCUACAGGUCGAGUGCCGCAGCGGAGGAGCGCGAAAUGGACGCGGCUACGCCGACGACGAGAUCUCAGCAACAGCAGCCGCAGCAGCAGCUCACCCUGUUGACGGCGAGCUCGCCCUCGAACAUCCUGGCGGAGUGGGGGCAAACACGGAACGCACCUGCUGAAACGGCCAGUUCACCGUCGCUGUCUGCCGCGCGGGAGCGCGGCAGCGUUGUCGCGGCUGUCUCCCAUCCCAGGUUCCCCUCACAGCCGCAGCAGAAGGACGGUUGCGGCUCUGAUGCAGCGCCACGGCCGACGGCGCCACCACCGUUGCGUGCAUCUCUUCAGCACCGCCGGAACUGCGGUUCUACGGUGUAUAGUCUUAGCACCUUAUCGGAAACGAUGGAUGACAAGUUGAACGAGGCUUUGCUUAACUUGGAGGACGGCGGUAACGAAGUGGGUGAGGCACUGGUGGAGCGGCGCGAGAAAGAAGCUUUUCUUAUUGUCACGGAGGAAGACUUGAGCGGCACCCGCAUAUCGUCGGCAGAGGAGCUGAUGGCCAGCGCAAGUCAGCGAACUGGGUUGGAUGACGGUGCAGAGGAUCACGGCAACGUCCUAGGCAACACCCCGGCGUCUAAACGGUGCUCUUUGAAGCGAGGACGAGAAGAGGCAGCCCGUGGCCGGCGGAUAUCGCGCUCCGGCAAUCGCCGGGCAUUCCGUGAAGGUGGCGAUGGCCGCCGCUUGUCGCGCGGCGGUUGGGCUAAGUCGGCCUGCGGUGCUGAGCUCUUGCAAUCCAUGUGCGACGACGCCGAAAAUGCUCCUCCUCCGCAGCACCUGACGCGCGCGGAUAUUCGACGAAGACACUCUAAUCAGCCCCCACAGGAAGAUUCGCAGGUUGUAUUUUUUGAUCAUUAGAGUAUCAGACCACCCUGAUGACGAAUGGAGCCACACCUCACCGUGCGCGGCAUCUCAGGGUCCAGUGCACUUCCCCACCCCUCCCCCCCCCCGCACAAACACACACACACACACGCAUUAUGUCUGUGUGCGGAGGAGCGAAGCGGCCCCUUCCACCCCCCCCCACCCCCUACCUCUGCUAAUGCCGAACUACCUCCGGCCGUGACAAGAUCCAGUACCCACAGCGUAGGGAUGUCAGUGCGAUGUAUCGCUGCUGACGCCGGCGGUGUAGUCGUGGAUGGGCGCGGCUGUGAUGCGACCAGCGAGGCACUGGUGGGUAGGGUUUGAGGCAAAGGCCACGCUCUCCGAUGGCCGGGUCGGCGCACUGCUGCAAGGCGCGUCUGUGCGACUGCUUCGCACGCACGCGACGUGCCCGCUGUGGCAGCCCCGGGGGCGUAGCGUUGAAUGCAGCGCACGUUUGUGCGGCAGCGAGUGGACACAUCGGAGGGAAAGCAGUCCAAAAAAAAAAUCAAAGCCUAGUCAGCGAGCCAGGGCUCAAGCGAAGGAAACAAAGUGAGAUGCGUGCUGGGGCGAGGCGCUGGUCGGUAUGUUUCAGUUCUUUCGUGCGCUGUGUCUUUUGUGUGGCACAAAUCGCUGAGUUUUUCCUGUACGGCGGUGCGCCUUACCUGUUCUGAGUUCCGGUUUUACCACACACCAGUAAAUGUGUCUCUCUCUGCCUGUAUCAUUUUCUACAAGCAUGUCAUGCUUUCUCUUAUCUGUAUAUAUAUAUAUAUGUCUUGCUGCAGAGCAGAGAGGAAGAAUGUGCAUUAGCGUGCAUGAGCAGUCACGUGCCCAUCUGCGCUGCUUCCGAAACAAACAAAAGUCGGAAAGAUGAUGUCGUCACGAGGGUCAGCAAAGGAUCUACUCGAAAGGCCCGUGCGAUGCUGCUCACGAUCUCAGCAAGUUGCCUGUCGUGGAUGACGCGUGAGAAAGUUGGGUGUGCCGAAACCCAAUCAUUAACGAAGGUGGAGGGGAAAGCCCCAGUGCUCAAAAAAUUUGUGUCGGUCUCUUACUCGUGCUUCUGGAGAUCGGCUUACGAACAAGGACCUCGUGCAAUGCGCGGUGUGCGCGUGCGGUGGUGUUGAGGCUCAUGCAGCGCGACUGUCAUCUUUCCCCCUCUCCUCCUUUUUUUUUGACGGUUUUGCAUCACCCGAUAACCAUCAUAUAUACGAUAAUACUGCGCGUCUGCUCGCACGGCCCAG